rnacentral:rRNA from 1 species
GAUGAACGCUAGCGGCAGGCUUAAUACAUGCAAGUCGUGGGGCAGCAUGAGUAGCAAUACUUGAUGGCGACCGGCAAACGGGUGAGGAACACGUACACAACCUUCCUUCAAGCGGGGAAUAGCCCAGAGAAAUUUGGAUUAAUACCCCAUAAAUAUAUUUGAUAAAGGCAUCUUAUUAAAUAUUAAAGCUUCGGCACUUGAUGAUGGGUGUGCGGCUGAUUAGAUAGUUGGCGGGGUAACGGCCCACCAAGUCUACGAUCAGUAGCUGAUGUGAGAGCAUGAUCAGCCACACGGGCACUGAGACACGGGCCCGACUCCUACGGGAGGCAGCAGUAAGGAAUAUUGGACAAUGGACGAAAGUCUGAUCCAGCCAUGCCGCGUGAAGGAUUAAGGUCCUCUGGAUUGUAAACUCUUUAUAU